CCUACGGGAGGCAGCAGUGGGGAAUAUUGCACAAUGGGGGAAACCCUGAUGCAGCGACGCCGCGUGAGCGAUGAAGUAUCUCGGUAUGUAAAGCUCUAUUAGCAGGGAAGAAAAUGACGGUACCUGACCAAGAAGCCCCGGCUAAACACGUGCCAGCAGCCGUGGUAAUGCGUAGGGGGCAAGCGUUAUCCGGAUUUACUGGGCGUUAAGGGAGUGUAGUGGGCUUGGCAAGGCAGUGGGGAAAGGCUGGGGUUCAAACCCAGGAGUGCAUUUGGAACUGGCAUGCUAGAGUGGGGGAGAGGCAGGCGGAAUGCGUGGUGUAGCGGUGAAAUGCGUAGAUAUUAGGAGGAACACCAGUGGCGAAGGCGGCCUACUGGACGAUAACUGACGUUGAGGCUCGAAAGCGUGGGGAGCAAACAGGAUUAGAUACCCGGGUAGUC
rnacentral:rRNA from 1 species